rnacentral:lncRNA from 1 species
CAGGAUAUGAAGACACGGCCCGCACACCCACACCCCGCCCCGUGCCCACACCUCUCUCUCUCUCUCUCCACUGACGGCAACUCUGGCAUCCACCCCGCGCCUGCGCUCGCACCCCCAUCGCCUCCCCCACACUCAGACAUGGCGGCGGCAGCAGAUCGCUUUGGCGGCGGCAGAUCCGUUGGAUCCAACGGUGAUGAGGCCAGGUAGGCCUCCUCCUCUCUCUCCUCCUAGAUCAGGCUAGGGUUCCGACGAGCCCUUCUAUUUCUUCUCCAAUCCUGGUGGGGUGUAGAAUGACUAGCCUAAGGGAGGCAGGUAGGCCGAGCAAUGAGGAUACGCUUGAUCGACGACUUAGGGGAGUUAACGACAGCAGAGGCAAUCAACUCUCUCUUGGCAACUCCGGUGUCCACCUCGCGCCUGCGCCCGCACCCCCAUCGCCUCCCUCACACUAAGACAUGGCGGCAGCGACAGAUCUGUCGGCUUCGGCGGUGGCAGAUCCACUGGAUCUAACGGUGACGAGGCCAGGUAGGCCUCCUCUUCUCUCCUCCUAGAUUAUGCUAGGGUUCGGACGAGCUCUUCCCUUUCUUCUCCAACCUCGGUGGGGUGUAGAAUGACUAGCCUAAGGGAGGAAGGUAGCCGAGCAAUGGGGAUGCUUGAACGGCGGCUUAAGGGAGUUAACGACUGCAAAGGCAAUCAAAUCAGGACGAAGAAGGCUCACCAAGGCUAGAGAAGAUGACAACAGACAAGCUUGCUCAAGCUGAAGAAGAUGGUGGCAGUGGGGAAGAGGGGAAGGGAAAAGGGCAGCCGCCAUGGGUAGAGGGGUGGCCGGCGAACCCUAGAUCUGGUCAGUUUUUUUUUCUUUUUUGGCAACCAAAACAAUUCUUUUCCCAAAUUAGUUUGCAGCCGAAAAUUGCGUUUCCUGCACGCGCACGCCCAUGUAAAGUCCAUACUCUUGAUAUAUAGCCGCUCAAAAAAAUCUUUACAAACCAACCUCAGUUUUACAUGUUGAGAAAUGAGAAUGAGAACCAUGUUCGAUACGCGCGCGGCAGUAACUAGUCAUACAAAAAGUCAGCGAACUUUCCUAUGCACCAGACGAGUUCAACUUUAGCAUGCGAACCUCCCAUGCAUCUAUGCUAUGUAACUCAUCUAAUAACCAAAAUAAACAAACCUACAACAUUCUCUAUCUACCUUCUACUCUCUUACCCUUUUAGCAGUUCAGCCUCUCGUCUUUCAAAAAGUAUUUCAGUUUCUUUGGCAGUGGCGAGUGGCAAUCAGUGCCUUCCAUGUGCCGUUUUGCAGGGUUGCUGCGGCUGUGAUUCAUCAAAUCAUCCUUGGGUGGAGCCAACUUUUCAGCUUCAAUGUCAUACCUGACGACGUUUGUUACAAUUCCAUGAAU